rnacentral:rRNA from 1 species
GCUCAACCGUGGAGGGUCAUUGGAAACUGGGAAACUUGAGUGCAGAAGAGGAGAGUGGAAUUCCAUGUGUAGCGGUGAAAUGCGCAGAGAUAUGGAGGAACACCAGUGGCGAAGGCGGCUCUCUGGUCUGUAACUGACGCUGAUGUGCGAAAGCGUGGGGAUCAAACAGGAUUAGAUACCCUGGUAGUCCACGCCGUAAACGAUGAGUGCUAAGUGUUAGGGGGUUUCCGCCCCUUAGUGCUGCAGCUAACGCAUUAAGCACUCCGCCUGGGGAGUACGACCGCAAGGUUGAAACUCAAAGGAAUUGACGGGGACCCGCACAAGCGGUGGAGCAUGUGGUUUAAUUCGAAGCGACGCGAAGAACCUUACCAAAUCUUGACAUCCUUUGACCGCUCUAGAGAUAGAGUCUUCCCCUUCGGGGGUCAAAGUGACAGGUGGUGCAUGGUUGUCGUCAGCUCGUGUCGUGAGAUGUUGGGUUAAGUCCCGCAACGAGCGCAACCCUUAAGCUUAGUUGCCAUCAUUAAGUUGGGCACUCUAGGUUGACUGCCGGUGACAAACCGGAGGAAGGUGGGGAUGACGUCAAAUCAUCAUGCCCCUAAUGAUUUGGGCUACACACGUGCUACAAUGGAUAAUACAAAG